UACGUAGGGACCGAGCGUUGUCCGGAAUCAUUGGGCGUAAAGAGCGUGUAGGCGGCCACUUAAGUCCUGCGUGAAAUCUUGCGGCUCAACCGCAAGCGGUCGUGGGAAACUGGGUGGCUAGAGUGCGGGAGAGGAGGGUGGAAUUCCUGGUGUAGCGGUGGAAUGCGCAGAUAUCAGGAGGAACACCAGCGGCGAAGGCGGCGCUCUGGGCCGGUACUGACGCUGAGGAGCGAAAGCGUGGGGAGCGAACAGG
rnacentral:rRNA from 1 species